rnacentral:rRNA from 1 species
UACGUAGGGUGCAAGCGUUAAUCGGGAAUUACUGGGCGUAAAGCGUGCGCAGGCGGUUUUGUAAGACAGAGGUGAAAUCCCCGGGCUUAACCUGGGAACUGCCUUUGUGACUGCAAGGCUUGAGUGCGGGCAGAGGGGGAUGGAAUUCCGCGUGUGCAGUGAAAUGCGUAGAUAUGCGGAGGAACACCGAUGGCGAAGGCAAUCCCCUGGGCCUGCACUGACGCUCAUGCACGAAAGCGUGGGGAGCAAACAGG